CUCCCCCCUGGCCGCAGCGUUUUUGCUCGUGGUUCCGAGAAAAGGGCCGGAAAGCCGAGACUCGGUGUGGGGAGUGCUGGGGUGGGCUCGGCAGCCGGGUUGAAGCGGGAGCCGCCCCGGCCCCUCUGCUGCCGCCGCGGAGCCGCCGGGCCCGACCUUGUCCCGUUGCUGCGGUUGGUGUGGAGCUGCUCAAGGUGCUCAUAGACGAGCUCAGGAAGCGAGCAG